AUUGAACGCUGGCGGCAGGCCUAACACAUGCAAGUCGAGCGGGGUUUUCGGACCUAGCGGCGGACGGGUGAGUAAUGCGUAGGAAGCUACCCGAUAGAGGGGGAUACCAGUUGGAAACGACUGUUAAUACCGCAUAAUGUCUACGGACCAAAGUGUGGGACCUUCGGGCCACAUGCUAUCGGAUGCGCCUACGUGGGAUUAGCUAGUUGGUGGGGUAAUGGCUCACCAAGGCGACGAUCCCUAGCUGGUUUGAGAGGAUGAUCAGCCACACUGGAACUGAGACACGGUCCAGACUCCUACGGGAGGCAGCAGUGGGGAAUAUUUGACAAUGGGCGCAAGCCUGAUUCAGCCAUGCCGCGUGUGUGAAGAAGGCCUUCGGGUUGUAAAGCACUUUCAGUAGGGAGGAAGCGUUGUGUGUUAAUAGUACACAGCGUUGACGUUACCUACAGAAGAAGCACCGGCUAACUCUGUGCCAGCAGCCGCAGUAACAC
rnacentral:rRNA from 1 species